rnacentral:lncRNA from 1 species
CCUCUGACCACUCAGCCUUCCCUCCAUCAGGUGUCCCUCUGAGACAAAGAUCAAAUAAAGGCAGCAGGGCAAGUGCUGGGGGUCAUUUGGCUGCCAGGAUUCUGAUGGGAAGCAAAAUCAACUCCAAGAGGGCAAGAACAUGGAGCUAACUCGCCAGUGAUACCAGCUUCCAGAACAAUGUCUGCCUAUUCAAUGGGUAUGUAUUGUAUGUUGAAUGACUGAAUGAAGCAAACAAAUUUUAGGACUCCCUUUCCUGGGUACAUACUCUGCUUCCCAACCCUUCCUAGCUAAGCUGAGGUAAAAUGACCAUAUGCUGAAACGAGCACCUCCUAAGUGUUCAGUUUGAUGAUCUUGACAAUUGUAUAGACUCAGAUAACCAGCACCCAAAACAGGAUAUGGAACACAUCAGUGACUGACUCAAACCUUUCCCCUGGCCCAUAUCCCAGUCAAGUCCCCCUAUCCUGGGCAACACACUCUGACUUUUCUCACUGGAAGUGAGAUGUUCCCGUU